rnacentral:rRNA from 1 species
CCCAGACUCCUACGGGAGGCAGCAGUAAGGGAUAUUGGUCAAUGGGGGAAACCCUGAACCAGCAACGCCGCGUGAGGGAAGACGGUUUUCGGAUUGUAAACCUCUGUCCUCUGUGAAGAUGAUGACGGUAGCAGAGGAGGAAGCUCCGGCUAACUACGUGCCAGCAGCCGCGGUAAUACGGAGGAUGCGAGCGUUAUCCGGAUUUAUUGGGUUUAAAGGGUGCGUAGGCGGUCCGGAAAGUCAGCGGUAAAAGGCCCGGGGCUCACCCCCGGCGAGCCGUUGAAACUGUCGGACUAGAGACGGCGAGAAGUACGCGGAAUGCGCGGUGUAGCGGUGAAAUGCAUAGAUAUCGCGCAGAACUCCGAUUGCGAAGGCAGCGUACCGGCGCCGGACUGACGCUGAGGCACGAAAGCGUGGGUAUCGAACAGGAUUAGAUACCCCGGUACC